rnacentral:rRNA from 1 species
UCUGGAUGGUAGUGUAUUGGACUACCAUGGCAGUCACGGGUAACGGGGAAUUAGGGUUCUAUUCCGGAGAGGGAGCCUGAGAAACGGCUACCACAUCUAAGGAAGGCAGCAGGCGCGUAAAUUACCCCAAUCCUGAUUCAGGGAGGUAGUGACAAGAAAUAACAACUCGGGGGCUCACGCCUUACGAGAUUGAAAUGAGAACAAUCUAAACCCCUUAUCGAGGAACAAUUGGAGGGCAAGUCUGGUGCCAGCAGCCGCGGUAAUUCCAGCUCCAAUAGCGUAUAUUAAAGUUGUUGCAGUUAAAAAGCUCGUAGUUGAAUUUCUGGCUUUCUGUCUCUUGGCUCUGGUCGAGAGAGAGAGAGUCAUCCGCCAGAGAACUAUAGUCGUCCUUUAGUGGUCGAUAUAAGGAUCUGGCACUUUACUUUGAAAAAAUUAGAGUGUUCAAGGCAGGCCAUUGCCAUGAAUACACAAGCAUGGAAUAAUGGAAUAGGACUCUGGUUCAUUUUGUUGGUUAUUGAACCUUAGUAAUGAUUAAUAGGGACAGUUGGGGGCAUUAGUAUUUAAUUGUCAGAGGUGAAAUUCUUGGAUUUAUUAAAGACUAACUUAUGCGAAAGCAUUUGCCDAAGGAUGUUUUCAUUAAUCAAGAACGAAAGUUAGGGGAUCAAAGACGAUCAGAUACCGUC